rnacentral:snRNA from 1 species
AGAUGUGAGGGCGAUCUGGCUGCAAUAUCUGUCACCCAAUGAUCACCAGGGUUGAUUCGGCUGAUCUGGCUGGCUAGGCAGAUGUCCCCUUCCUCCCUCAACGAUCCAUGUGCAUCCCUUCCGAAGCUGCGUGCUCGGUCGAAGAGGACGACCACCCCCGAUAGAGGAGGACUGUUCCUCGGUCAAGGGUACACGAGUAGCUGCGCUCCCCUGCUAGAACCUCCAAACAAGCUCUCAAGGUCCAUAAUUAUUUUUUCUCAUUUUAAUUUUUUUAUUAAUUUUAAUGAGAAAAAAGAUAA